rnacentral:rRNA from 1 species
GAUGAACGCUAGCUACAGGCUUAACACAUGCAAGUCGAGGGGCAGCACAAGGUAGCAAUACUGAGGUGGCGACCGGCGCACGGGUGAGUAACACGUAUCCAACCUGCCGUUUACUCUUGGAUAGCCUUCUGAAAAGGAGAUUAAUACAAGAUAGUAUCAUGAGAUCACAUGUUCACAUGAUUAAAGAAUUUCGGUAAACGAUGGGGAUGCGUUCCAUUAGAUAGUAGGCGGGGUAACGGCCCACCUAGUCUACGAUGGAUAGGGGUUCUGAGAGGAAGGUCCCCCACACUGGUACUGAGACACGGACCAGACUCCUACGGGAGGCAGCAGUGAGGAAUAUUGGUCAAUGGACGCAAGUCUGAACCAGCCAAGUAGCGUGAAGGAUGAAGGUUCUAUGGAUUGUAAACUUCUUUUAUAUGGGAAUAAAAUCAUCUACGUGUAGAUGCCUGUAUGUACCAUAUGAAUAAGGACCGGCUAACUCCGUGCCAGCCGCCGCGGUAACAC